rnacentral:rRNA from 1 species
UACAGAGGUCUCAAGCGUUGUUCGGAUUCAUUGGGCGUAAAGGGUGUGUAGGUGGCGCCGUAAGUCGGGUGUGAAAUUUCGGAGCUUAACUCCGAAACUGCAUUCGAUACUGCGGUGCUUGAGGACUGGAGAGGAGACUGGAAUUCAUGGUGUAGCAGUGAAAUGCGUAGAGAUCAUGAGGAAGACCAGUGGCGAAGGCGGCUUCCUGGACCGAUUCUGACACUGAGGAACGAAAGCGUGGGGAGCGAUCCGG